ACAAACCAAACUCUAAAAUCAUAUUUAAAAUAAAUUCAUUAGAACUACCAGUGACGUUGUUCUUUUCCUUUAUCAAAUAUUUAUGUAUGUAUGUAUGCAUGUAUGUAUGUAUUAUGUAUAUAUGUAUGCAUGUAUGUAUAGAUGGUCACGUCUCAAAUGCCUUUGUUUACAGGUUCACUCGAUCAAACAAUUGAUUGACGGAAACAGGCACUCGUUCAAAAGGAACAAUAUUAAGAAAAGAUACAGCUGCCUAUGAAAUCAGUGGUAACUACCUUACUUUUUCUACAUUCUUUCAGUAAAGCAGUAUAAUCCGAGGAAACACGUGAUACUCUGUUUCAGCAAAUAGUAAGUACAUAAUAAAAAGUUCACCGAGUGAUAUCAUUUAGCUUGUCCUAAGAAAGGACCGUUCGUCGAAACUCUUUCGUUACAUGAACUUCUGUCACAUGGUAUAGUCUGUUGUUUUGUCGUUUUGUUUAUGCUUAUUUGUAUGAGAUACCGUUUUAAGCCUGAUUGAUUGAGACCUAUAAUCCUUUCUACUAUAGGCACAAGGUCUGAAAUUUGGGAGAGGGCGAUAAUCGAUAACAUCGACCCCAGCACUUCACUGGUGCUUAAUUUAUCGACCUAUAUAACACAUUUCACAUUUAAUGUAAUAUUAGCUAAUCUAUGAGAUAUUUACUGUGAAUGAGUGUGCGUAUAUAUAUAUAUAUAUAUAUAUAUAUAUAUGUGUUUGUGUAUGUAUAUAUAUAUGUGUGUAUAUAUAUGUAUAUAUAUAUAUAUAUAGGCGCAGGAGUGGGUGUGUGGUAAGUAGCUUGCUUACCAACUGCAUAGUUCCGGGUUCAGUACCACAGCGUGGCACCUUGGGCAAGUGUCUUCUGCAAUAGCCUCGGGCCGAACAAAGCCUUGUGAGUGGAUUUGUUAGACGGAAACUGAAAGAAACCCGUCGUAUAUAUAUAUAUAUAUUUGUGUGUGUGUGUGUGUGGACGCUGCGAUGGACUGGCGUCCCAUCCAGCUGAGGGAAACACAUACGCCACAAAAACAGGGAAACCGGGCCCAUGAGCCUGGCUAGGCUUGAAAAGGGUGACGAGAUAUGUGUGUGUGUGUGUUUUUCUAUCUGUGUUUGUUCUCCUAUCAUGGCUUGACAACCGAUGCUGAUGUGUUUACGACCCCGUAACUUAGCGGUUCGGCAAAAGAGACCGAUAGAAUAAGUACUAGGCUUACAAAGGCGGUGCUCCAUCAUGGCCGCAGUCAUAUGUCUGAAACAAGUAAACAAAUAUACACACACAUAUGCAAUAUACACACAUACAUACUUACACACUUGUAUGUAUCUAGAUGGAUGGAUGGAUGGAUAGAUGGAUGGAUAUGAAGGUGCGUUACCUAGCUAUUACGGUGUUGCACUCAUGGUCGCUGGAUCCUGGGUUCGAUUCCCAGAUCGAGAGACGUGGUGUGUUCUUGAGAAAAACACAUCAUUUCACGUGGUUCCAAUCCAAUAGGUAACUCUGUGACGGAAUAGUAUUCUGAUUCGGUGUGGGGGAUGGGAGACGUUGACCUGCUCGCCCACCCAGUGGACUGGCAUCAUUCGAAAAGCUAAAAUAAAAUAACGCAGAGCAGAAUGUAACCAGCGAUGUAUAUAUAUAUAUAUAUGUAAAUAUAUAUAUAUAUAUAUAUAUAUAUAUAUAUAUACAAAGUAAUAUUUCCCAAAAUGGCGGUUACCGUGUUAACUCUUAGAUCCGUUCUCAAUGCCGGCUAGCCACAGCAAAUGCUGGUGAUACUCAAGUUAGUGAUAAUUUACUAGACUCGGUUAUUAAUCUUCGCUUAGGAAAUCCGAAUGUCCUUUUAGAGACCACAUAGUUUCCGUAGAGAAAAUAGCGAAAUUACUGAAGGAGAACGGAGAUUGUGAAUGACUUUCUCAAAAUGCAAUGACCUUGCUGAGAAAACUUGAAGGAAAUAAUGAAAACAAUGAAAGAGAGAAGGAGAUUAAGAGGUUUUAUCGUUCUCCUGAUCUUCAUUAUACAUAUAUAUAUAUAUAUAUAUAUAUAUAUAUAUAUAUAUAUAUAUAUAUAUACAUAUAUACAUAUAUACAUACAUAUAUAUAUACAUAUAUAUACAUAUAUAUAUAUGUGUGUGUGUGUGUGUGUGUGUGUGUGUGUGUGUAUUUGUAUGUAUGCAAGUAUGUAUCAUUGCAUACAUGCUGAUAUCACACGUGAUUUCAACAACUGUUAUAUUUAUUGUACACCGGCUGACGAGGCAAAUAGUCGACAAAACACGUAGAUGUUCCACAUAGUAACGUGCGAUAAAUAUUCCGUUGCAAAGUCUCAAAAUGCAACAGUUGUAUGGACAAAAACGAUUUAAAGACUUUUUAUCCGAAAUAUUUUCAUGUUAUUCUUCUCGUUUCUGAAAUUCACAUUGAGGUAAAGCUAAGGCACUGACUAUAUACUGAGAUUGUUGCGCGUUUCUAAUGAUUGAACACUUCUCAUAGAUAAGCGCAAACCUUGCUGUCUACGUUGCGAUGCGAUUGUAUGCGAUAUAUAUAUAUAUAUAUAUAUAUAUAUAUAUUUAGCAAGCAUUUAGCCAUCACAACAUAUAUUUCAAACAGUAGAGUUUCUGAAUAUAUAUAUCUUAUUGAUAUAUAUAGGGGUUACUAUUUCGUUCCGUUGGUCGUUCCUGAUUGAUUUAUAUACAAACCACUCUUUAUAUAGCAUGAGGCUAACUAAAUAACUGUGUUUAGUUCAACAGUGGCUGACGAUAUAUACAUCUACGUGGUGUGUGUGUACUCGCAUAUUCAUAUCCCUAUGCACAAAUUAUGCACAUGCAUACAUAUAUACGCACACAUAUACACACGCACAUAUAUGUAUGUAUGUGUAUGUAUAUAUAUAUGCACACACACUCACAUACAUAUAUAUAUAAUGUGCGAAAUGCCUAGCGGUAUUUCGUCUGUCGUUACGUUCUGAGUUCUGAGGUCGACGUUGCCUUUCAUCCUUUCGGGGUCGAUUAAAUAAAGUACCAGUUUCGCACUGAGGUCGAUAUAAUCGACUUAAUCCCUUUGUCUAUCCUUAUUUGUCCCCUCUGUGUUUAGCCUCUUGAGGGCAGUAAAGAAAUAUAUAAUGUAGUUAACGUAUCUUAUUGCAAGGAAUGUGCCAAGUACACCAAAGGAGAUGCCUAGUUUUAUCUGAUGUGACAAUGGUAAUAACAUCAAAUAAAAGUACGUACAGGAAAAUAUACUGCGUGCAUAUAAAUAUAGACGUUUAUUAUUUCUUUAUUGCCCACAAGGGGUUAAACAUAGAAGGAACAAACGAGGACAGACAAAGGGAUAAGUCGAUUACAUCGACCUCAGUGCGUCACUGGUACUUUAUUUAUCGACCCCGAAAGGAUGAAAGGCAAAGUCGACCUCGGCGGAAUUUGAACUCAGAACGUAACGGCAGACGAAUUACCUAUUUCUUUACUACCCACAAGGGGCUAAACACAGAGGGGACAAACAAGGACAGAUAAACGGAUUACGUUGACUAUAUCGACCCCAGUGCGUAACUGGUACUUAUUUAAUCAACCCCGAAAGGAUGAAAGGCAAAGUCGACCUCGAGGGAAUUUGAACUCAGAACGUAGCGGCAGACGAAAUACCUAUUUCUUUACUACCCACAAGUGACUAAACACAGAGGGGACAAACAAUGACAGUUAAUUGUUAAGUCUAUUACAUCGAACCGAGUGCGUAACUGGUACUUAAUUUAUCGACCUUGAAAGGCAAAGUCGACCUCAGCGGAAUUUGAACUCCGAACGUAACGGCAGACGAAAUACUGCUAAGCAUUUCGCCCGGCGCGUUAACGUUUCUGCCAGCAGAAAUAUAUACCUUUAAAUCAAACAAAAACAGAAUUGCACAAUGAACACAUUCACAAAUUCCUUUCUACUCUAGGCACAAGGCCUGAAAUUUUGGAGGAAGUAGGGGCAGUCGAUUAGAUCGACCCUAAUACGCAACAGGUACUUAAUUUAUCGACCCCGUAAGGAUGAAAGGCAAAGUCGAGCCCUGCAGAAUUUGAACUCAGAUCAUCUGUCGUUAUGUUCUGAGGUUCUGAGUCAUAUACUGGUGAGGUCGACUUUGCCUUUCAUCCAUUCGGGGUCGAUGAAUUAAGUAUCAGUUGUGUAUUGGGGUUGAUCUAAUCAACUGCCCCCUCUUCCCCCCAAAUUUCUGGCUAUGUGCCUAGAGUAGAAAAGAGGACAUUCAUAAAUUGUGUAUGGUUAAGAAGUUUGCAUCGGAACACGUGGUUUCAGGUUCAAUUUCAUUGUGCGGUACCAUGGGUCAGUGUCUUGCACUAUAGUCUCGAGGCAUCCGACGCUUUGUGAGUAAAUUUAGUAGACGAUAACUGUGAGGGUGCCCAUCGCACAUGUUUAUAUAUACCUGUGUGAGUGUGCAUGUGUAUGUGUGCGUACGUGUAUGUGUGUGAGUUUCUUCGUGGGUGUGCUCGUCCCUUCCGAUGCUUGACAACAAGUGUUGCUUUGUUUACGUCUUCGUAACUUAGCGGUUCGGCCAAAUAGUCCAGUAGAGUAAGUAGCACACUUACAAAUAAGUACUGCGGUUAAUGUGUUCGACUAAACCGGUAGUUCUCCACCGGGUUCCAUUUGGUCCUUGAGGGCCCAUAUGAGAUAUGUUGUUAAAAUUUAUCUGCAAUAUAUUGAGCAAACUUCUACAACACACAAAAUAUUUUAACAAUUUUUUUAGACAAUCCCUAAUAAUAUUUACUCUUUUACUCUUUUGCUUGUUUCAGUCAUUUGACUGUGGUCAUACUGGAGCACCGCCUUUAGUUGAGCAAAUCGACCCCAGGACUUAGUCUUUCUAAGCCUAGUACUUAUUCUAUCGGUCGCUUUUGCCGAACCGCUAAGUUACGGGGACGUAAACACACCAGCAUCGGUUGUCAAGCGAUGUUGGAGGGACCUCACAAACACACAAACAUAUACACACACGUACAUAUAUACAGUGGGGGGAAAUAAAUAUUCGUAAAUGCCAAAAUUCUUCA
rnacentral:lncRNA from 1 species